AUUGAACGCUGGCGGAAUGCUUAACACAUGCAAGUCGAGCGGUAACAGGUGUAGCAAUACAUGCUGACGAGCGGCGAACGGGUGAGUAAUGCUUCGGAAUCUGCCCAGUAGUGGGGAAUAACCGAGGGAAACUUAGGCUAAUACCGCAUACGAACUACGGUUGAAAGCGGGGGAUCGCAAGACCUCGCGCUAUUGGAUGAGCCGAAGUCGGAUUAGCUAGUUGGUGAGGUAACGGCUCACCAAGGCGACGAUCCGUAGCUGGUCUGAGAGGACGACCAGCCACACUGGGACUGAGACACGGCCCAGACUCCUACGGGAGGCAGCAGUGGGGAAUAUUGGACAAUGGGGGCAACCCUGAUCCAGCGACGCCGCGUGUGUGAAGAAGGCCUGCGGGUUGUAAAGCACUUUUAGUGGGGAUGAAAAGCCGGAGAUUAAUACCUUCCGGUCUUGACCUAACCCAAAGAAAAAGCACCGGCUAACUCUGUGCCAGCCGCCGCGGUAA
rnacentral:rRNA from 1 species